ACCCAUUCUCUAGAUCUCAACAGGUUGUUCCUCCUUCUUCCUAUUUAGUUACUUGGUUUCAAUUGUCUCUUUUUUACAUAUGCUUACCUAGGCUUGAAACAAUUGAAACCAAGUAGCUAAAUAGAAAGAAGGAGGAGGAAACCU